UAAUGGGGAAUUCAGAAUGGCGACCAUCAUGGGGAAUAAGGAAGGCAGGAAUGGCAGAGGGAUUCAUUCACCUGCUGUGCUAUUGCAAUAGGAGCAUGUGCUGAGUGAGCUUCUGGAAGGCUGUGCAAAGCAGCCCUGAAUGGGGCCAGGCAUACACCUUCAAGUCCUGGACUGCUUGGAUGCUGGCUGCUGCCAGGGGCAGUUCAAUCCCUAGCCCUACAAAAAGAAGAAGAUGAUGACAAUAAAAAAGAAGGAGAAGAGGAGGAAUAGUACGAGAAGAAUGAGAAGGAGACAGAGGAGAAACCAAACAACAACAACAAAAAAAAUUAGAAGACCAGCAUGGUGGCCCAUACCAAUAGCUAAAAGAAUACUAAAUCAAACGUUUAAGAAGAGACAGGAAUGGAAGUACUCCAAUAGACUCCUUCAGCAACAUCCAGGGCAGCCUACUCUGAAGUAUUAAAUUUGUAAGACAGUUUUGAGGGCCUCUGGAAAUAGGGAUAAGUUAGCUGACUUCAUAAGGGAGACAGGAAGCUGUGACCUGUACAUCAAAUAGGACAACUGUAGCUACCUAGCCGUGGCAAUGCUUUGAGAAAAGUAGAUUCAGGUUGGCAGUUGGCUGGGGUCACUCGGCUUAGCUUUCCUCUUGGCUUGUUUGCUUGGCUCCUCUAUCAGAGUCUGAGCCAAGGCCAAGGCCAGAGCAUCACCCGGGAUUCAAGAGAGACUUGGGUCCCCUGUCACAGUAUCCCCUCAGCUUCUGUCUCAGAUCGACACUUGCCUCUUAUGUCUGCUUGUCAUGUGUACUUCUAAAACUCUUUGAGCCCGCCCAGGCAUUUUUCUACAGCUGCUGAACGGGGUUAAAGA